rnacentral:rRNA from 1 species
AAAUUGAAGGGUUUGAUCAUGGCUCAGAUUGAACGCUGGCGGCAGGCCUAACACAUGCAAGUCGAACGGUAACAGGAAGAAGCUUGCUUCUUUGCUGACGAGUGGCGGACGGGUGAGUAAUGUCUGGGAAACUGCCUGAUGGAGGGGGAUAACUACUGGAAACGGUAGCUAAUACCGCAUAACGUCGCAAGACCAAAGAGGGGGACCUUCGGGCCUCUUGCCAUCGGAUGUGCCCAGAUGGGAUUAGCUAGUAGGUGGGGUAACGGCUCACCUAGGCGACGAUCCCUAGCUGGUCUGAGAGGAUGACCAGCCACACUGGAACUGAGACACGGUCCAGACUCCUACGGGAGGCAGCAGUGGGGAAUAUUGCACAAUGGGCGCAAGCCUGAUGCAGCCAUGCCGCGUGUAUGAAGAAGGCCUU